rnacentral:rRNA from 1 species
AACGAACGCUGGCGGCAUGCCUAACACAUGCAAGUCGAACGAGAUCUUCGGGGCCAGUGGCGCACGGGUGCGUAACGCGUGGGAAUCUGCCCUUUGGUUCGGAAUAACAGUUGGAAACGACUGCUAAUACCGGAUGAUGACGAAAGUCCAAAGAUUUAUCGCCAGAGGAUGAGCCCGCGUAGGAUUAGCUAGUUGGUGUGGUAAAUGCGAACCAAGGCGACGAUCCUUAGCUGGUCUGAGAGGAUGAUCAGCCACACUGGGACUGAGACACGGCCCAGACUCCUACGGGAGGCAGCAGUGGGGAAUAUUGGACAAUGGGCGAAAGCAUGAUCCAGCAAUGCCGCGUGAGUGAUGAAGGCCUUAGGGUUGUAAAGCUCUUUUACCCGGGAUGAUAAUGACAGUACCGGGAGAAUAAGCUCCGGCUAACUACGUGCCAGCCGCCGCCGUAA